rnacentral:rRNA from 1 species
ACGCACGCUGGCGGCGUGCUUAACCCAUGCAAGUCGAACGGGCCCGCUCUCUUUUUUGGGGGUGGGUUGAGUGGCGAACGGGUGAGUAUCACGUGAGUAACCUGCCCCCUGCUCCUGGAUAACUGCUUGAAAGGGCGGCUAAUACGGGGUGUGCCGGCUGGUCCGCAUGGGCCUGGUCGGGAUAGUUUCAUCUUCGGGUGUUUCGGUGGGGGAUGGGCUCGCGGCCUAUCAGCUUGUUGGUGGGGUGAUGGCCCACCAAGGCGGUGACGGGUAGCCGGCCUGGGGGGGUGGGCGGCCACACUGGGACUGAGACACGGCCCAGACUCCUGCGGGAGGCAGCAGUGGGGGGUAUUGCACAAUGGGCGGAAGCCUGAUGCAGCGACGUCGCGUGAGGGAUGGAGGCCUUCGGGUUGUGAACCUCUUUCUCCGGUGGUGAAGGCCCUGUCCGUUGCGGCGGGGUUGACGGUAGCCGGGUAUGAAGCGCCGGCUAACUACGUG